UACGUAGGGUGCGAGCGUUGAUCGGAAUUACUGGGCGUAAAGCGUGCGCAGGCGGUGAUGUAAGACCGAUGUGAAAUCCCCGGGCUUAACCUGGGAACUGCAUUGGUGACUGCAUUGCUGGAGUAUGGCAGAGGGGGGUGGAAUUCCACGUGUAGCAGUGAAAUGCGUAGAGAUGUGGAGGAACACCGAUGGCGAAGGCAGCCCCCUGGGUUAACACUGACGCUCAGGCACGAAAGCGUGGGGAGCAAACAGG
rnacentral:rRNA from 1 species